rnacentral:rRNA from 1 species
UACGGAGGGUGCAAGCGUUAUCCGGAUUCACUGGGUUUAAAGGGUGCGUAGGUGGGUUGGUAAGUCAGUGGUGAAAUCUCCGAGCUUAACUUGGAAACUGCCAUUGAUACUAUUAAUCUUGAAUAUUGUGGAGGUCAGCGGAAUAUGUCAUGUAGCGGUGAAAUGCUUAGAUAUGACAUAGAACACCAAUUGCGAAGGCAGCUGGCUACACAUAUAUUGACACUGAGGCACGAAAGCGUGGGGAUCAAACAGG